rnacentral:rRNA from 1 species
AGUGAACGCUGGCGGUAGGCCUAACACAUGCAAGUCGAACGGCAGCACAGUAAGAGCUUGCUCUUACGGGUGGCGAGUGGCGGACGGGUGAGGAAUACAUCGGAAUCUACUUUUUCGUGGGGGAUAACGUAGGGAAACUUACGCUAAUACCGCAUACGACCUACGGGUGAAAGCAGUGGAUCUUCGGACCUUGCGCGAUUGAAUGAGCCGAUGUCGGAUUAGCUAGUUGGCGGGGUAAAGGCCCACCAAGGCGACGAUCCGUAGCUGGUCUGAGAGGAUGAUCGGCCACACUGGAACUGAGACACGGUCCAGACUCCUACGGGAGGCAGCAGUGGGGAAUAUUGGACAAAGGGCGCAAGCCUGAUCCAGCCAUACCGCGUGGGUGAAGAAGGCCUUCGGGUUGUAAAGCCCUUUUGUUGGGAAAGAAAAGCAGCAGGUUAAUACCCCGCUGUUCUGACGGUACCCAAAGAAUAAGCACCGGCUAACUUCGUG